GGGGAAUAUUGGACAAUGGGCGGAAGCCUGAUCCAGCAACGCCGCGUGAGGGAUGACGGCCUUCGGGUUGUAAACCUCUUUCAGUACCGACGAAGCUCCUCCUUUUUGGGGUGGUGACGGUAGGUACAGAAGAAGCACCGGCCAACUACAUGCCAGCAGCCGCGGUAAUACGUAGGGUGCGAGCGUUGUCCGGAAUUAUUGGGCGUAAAGGGCUCGUAGGCGGUUUGUCGCGUCGGGAGUGAAAACAUCCAGCUUAACUGGGUGCUUGCUUUCGAUACGGGCAGACUUGAGGUAUGCAGGGGAGAAUGGAAUUCCUGGUGUAGCGGUGAAAUGCGCAGAUAUCAGGAGGAACACCGGUGGCGAAGGCGGUUCUCUGGGCAUUACCUGACGCUGAGGAGCGAAAGUGUGGGGAGCGAA
rnacentral:rRNA from 1 species